GAUAACUACCACCAGUCACCAUCAUCAGUUUUCUACUCUUCCUCUUCAGUUAUCAACAUUUCUGUCUCAUCACAUAAUUAUUCCACUGUGAGAUUUGCCCCAGCAACUUAACUCUAGGGAAUGUGUAGGCAGGUGCCAUAAUGCUGAUCUAGAAUGAUUUAGAAAGAACAAAAAGUAAUAGCAGCUAGUAUUGUAUAAUCAUACACACAAGGCACUUUGCUGAAUACUUUUUUGCAUUAUCUCUGUUCAUGAAGGAGGUAUUGUUAUUAUUCCCAGCUUUUUGAUAAAACUGCAGCUGAAGGGCUGGCAUGACAAUUCAGUGUGUCUUUGUGGAGCAGCAGUUGGGCAACAUCCGGAAGCUUGCUUCAAGGUGCAGAACAACCAGAUCAGAAGCUAAAUGUUAACAAGUUCUCAGGUGGCAUUUAUGCGCAUAAAAAUUCAAGAGUAGAAGAUGUGGUAGGGGGCCAUUACUCUGACACAGACAGGCCCUAGUUUAAACCAACUCAAUACAGAAGCGAAGCUAUUGGCAAAAGCUAUAUUCUCAAGUCAACCUGUGGGAACGUAUUAAACUCAACAUUUGGCCAGAAAUUUGUCUUUUGUUAUGAAGUACCCCUCAGGGACAACGUGUAAGUGAAAAUCUGGAGUGACAGGUGAGAAACGUAAGUUGAAAGGAUUUCUAUUUGACUAGUGGGGUUUAAUUAGUCCAGCGAUCAUCUUAAAUCCUUGUUGAAGGCCUUUCCUAUCCACUGCUUCCCCAUCUUCUAGUCAGCUCAGACUACAGUAAGCAGUCCUGACCUGAAUCUCACCGGGCACUGGCUCACUGUACCUUUUGUUCAGCGCUUAGGCACACACUCUUUUUCCCAGUUCUAUCACAGAAUUACUUCUUAAACCGGAUAAUCAUGGUCUGGAACUCUGUAAACCUCUAAUAAAUAAAAAGUAAGCUGAAGCGGCCUGUAUCCCUCUACAAAUUGGGGCACUUCUCUGAGCACUCGAGGCUUAAGGCAUCUCUGAUGUCAAAAGUCUUAAUCCAGCUACAGUAUCUACAGUAUAUAACUCACCAGAGGCUAAAGCCACUGCAGGAUUAACAGUGGCCGGGUCACUGCAAACACAGUUUAGUGUGCAAUCUGCCUUGGGCCUUGUCUUGUCCUGUCAAAUAGAUAUGUAUCACGUAAGUAGAGACAAGUAAGAGACUAACACUCUUUACAGAAAUACUCUUCUGGUCUGGAUCACCUGGUCCCUGUAGCUUUUGCAUUUAAAAGGCUGGUUUGUGGCGAUGAACUGGUUUUCUUCCUGGGUAUUAAUAUCAAAGCUUAUAUGAAUGAAGCUUAACUGUGUAAAGGGGACUGUGUAUCAUUUUAAUUUUAUCCCUCGGAGCACCUAGCAUGGAGCCUUGCACAUACUAGUAAUUAUGAUGAAAGCUCACAUUUACUUUACUUUAAACAAUGCCACAUCUUAACUCAUUUAAUCCCUGUAGACACCCUAAGGGGCAGAAGCAAUUAUUGCUCUCAUUGGAAGAUGAGGUUACUGCAACAAAAAGUGUUUCAGCAGCUUCCCUAAGGUUACAAAGCCAGCAAGUGGUUUUCACAAAGUCAUUUCAACUCCAGCAUCAUGCUCUUCCCUAGUGGCCCAUGAUGUCAAAUUGUAGCUUGAAAGACUAAUUGCU